rnacentral:lncRNA from 1 species
GAGAAGCUAAGAGCUCUUUUUUGUUUUGUUCAUUUAAAAUCAUUUGCUUCUUAUUUAAUAUCUGCAAAGAACGCAGUCACAUCAUAGUAGAAUGUGCUGUUGUAAAUUUUGGAUUGUUUCCAUGGGUUCCGCCUUACAUCUGCAUGGUGUUUAAAGCCAACGCUUUCUUUCUUUUUGUAGGCAUUCAGGGCCUUUUGCCUCAUAAUCCAAUGUCAUGGUGAAUGACAGAAAAUUGAAGUUGAAUUUAUUUAACUAUACAGAAGGACCGUACAGAACAAUACACUUAUUUAAGAACUCCUUGCCUCCGAAACUGAAGGAGCUGUUUUGUGCAGAUUUACAAUGUCAAGUGGAGGCACUUGUUUUAAAACUCCAGAAGACAGUGACUGAACUGGACAAGUUUAAAGAAAUGCUCAAGCACACUACAUUUCUUAAAGAAAAAGAAGACUCUUUAAUGACUUGUCAACAGAUAUAUAAAACUUUACAAGUUUUCUAUGAAAGAAAGGCAAUAAGAAGAUUUAAGAAGAAUUCACCUUGCCGAAAAGGAACCGCAGAUAACCAAAACUCUUCUGAGUCAAAGGAAGAGGUUGUAACACUGAAAAUGAAAGGGAAUUGCUGCUGAUUUCACAUCAGAAAAGCACUGAGCAGCUGCAGGAAGCCCUGAGACAGAAGCUGCUAAGUGAUGCUAACUGGAGGGAGGAGGUAACAGUGUGUGAUUUUCAUCAGCAUGUGUCUUACUGGCUUUUUAAAAUUCUGCUAGAAGACUGUUCCAGAUAGAUUUCUUGGCUGCUGUAUACACUUUUGAUUCCCUCUGGAAUUUCCAACACAAAACAUGCUUAUUAUAUGUGUAUUUUCCAAAAUAUUAGACAACAUAAUGAGAAAUAGAAAACAAGAACAGAUUGUGAAAUCUUGUAAAAUUAAAAUGGUUCUUGGUUUUCAUGCAGAAGCAUAAUUUUUACUUUUAAAUGUUUACCUUUUUCUCAACAUGUCAGGAUAUGCAUUUGACCACAUUCUUUUAAAAGUUUUAUUUGUAUUAGUACAUGUUUGCAGUACGUGAUGAUUACAUUUAUUGUGGGGAGUAGGGCACAAGUACAUUUAACACAUCUCAAUUCUUUUUUCCUCCUCCCCUUCCCUAUUUAAGACAGAUAAUAUUAAUUCUUAUGAGUUCUGUGCUUCUCUCAUAAGGAGAUAAUGUAGGAGAAUGGAAAAUUACUUAAAAUUACUCUUACAAAAUUUUGACAUAUUUAUCCUGGCA